ACAAAGCUGCCCAACCUUACACUCAUCCAUCAACCUCGAGUUAUUAAGAGAAUAACUGCAGAACAUUUACAAGUGGAUGGGAUGGAGUCCUGGCUGCUUUUCAAGAACACGGAGUCAGUGCUUUGCAAAAAACUUUGCAAGAUGGCAAAUUUUCUCAUGCUGCCUGUUCCUUGCUCUGCUGGGACCUGCUGGAAGGAAUGGUGUCUUCAGUUUAGGGUUUUCCCCAUCUUCCCCUUCCCUAUAAGGUCCAGAGACAUUAUCAUCACAUCCCACAUGGGCCAAAUCAUGCCGAUGAGCCAAGAGGUGAGGAGAAGUCUAAUCUGGGCCACACAACUCUCACUUGUGUAUCUAGGCCACCCAGCCCUUUGUUAUUUCAGACUAGAGCAGUGACUUUCCAGGCCAAACCAGGAACAGUUGCAAGAUUUUUCUACAGAGGGACCAUUCACAUAAAAUAAAUGCAUUGGGCAUCUGUAAGAAACAGAGCAGACAAUUCUUGAAAGCAAAAACUCUCGGCUGACAUCUUGGCUGGAAUUAAAAGUCCUGUUGUGUGAUGCUGAAAAACUUCAACAACCCUCUGCUGGAAGCUGUUUGGGAGAAAACGAAGUUCUAGUUCUCUUUCUCCCUCCCUCAUUUUUAAGGUGAAUUUAACUGUGUUAGAGGGAGCCAAACUGAGACCAUGAUGAUGGAAUGAUCCAGUGCUUCUCGGAGAUUGCAAACCCCACCUUGCUGUCUGUUGUUGGUGGGCACAAUCCGUCCUCAGACAGAUGGUUUCUGUGGGUCACCAUCAGAGCUGUGAACUCACAACGACGUACCGUCCCGAUCAGAGUGCAUUAAAACCAUGAAACACUUGAACAUAAAACCCAUAAAUCUUGAUUUGCCAUCAUCAGUCCCCUGAAGCAGCUGGUGCUGGCAGAACAGCUCUUUUCAAACGGCAGAGCAGCUGCUCAGCUGGUGUAAAUCAGCACAGGACCUUGUAGAAGGAGGAGUAGAAGUAGAAAAAUAGAAGUAGAAAAACAGUGGUACUGCUUAAAGGUUGUGUUUUCAAGAGAUCAGUGAGUAACUAAAAGUUUAACAUGCCCGCUGGGAAGGGUAUAAAA